rnacentral:rRNA from 1 species
UACGUAGGGUGCGAGCGUUAAUCGGAAUUACUGGGCGUAAAGCGUGCGCAGGCGGUUCGUUAAGUUCGAUGUGAAAGCCCCGGGCUCAACCUGGGAACUGCAUUGGAAACUGGCGAGCUUGAGUAUGGCAGAGGGGGGUGGAAUUCCGCGUGUAGCAGUGAAAUGCGUAGAGAUGCUGAGGAACACCGAUGGCGAAGGCAGCCCCCUGGGCCAAUACUGACGCUCAGGCACGAAAGCGUGGGGAGCAAACAGG